rnacentral:tRNA from 1 species
GGUCCUAUAGUUUAUAAAAAAUAUUAAGUUGCAAACUUUAGGAAACAUAUAUAUAUAUUGUUAGGACUU